GUGAAUCGACCUUUAAGGCCCUUUAUAAAUUGUGCUUUUCAUAUUACCUGUUCUGAAAAUAAAGAAAAUGAAUAUAUACUUUCUGAAUUAGUACCUACCUACUGCAGCUAGGUAAUUUAACAGUAAAAGCGUAAACAAGUAGGGGAAAAUACGAUGCUAACGACCACAAAAUUUGUCUACAAUUAUCGUGGAAUAAUAAGUAUAAGUUGUGAUGUCUAUAGAAGCGCAUAUCUCUAAAUUAGAAAGGGAUAUUUUUAAGAUGCAUUUGGCGCCUCUAACAGAAUACUGAUUAAAUCGUAAGUAUAACUUUUUUAUUUAAAUUUUAAAUCGGUAUAAAUGCCAUGUAUUUGACUAGGAAUGAAGAUGGAUCAAUCCGCUUUAGAAAAGGUGUUGAUACACAAAUUCAAUUUCCUUGUCGAGCAUCAUGGGGAAGGAAAUUCGACAAUUAAAAAGGGAUUACGCUCCGAAAUUAUUAAAUUAAUUAGCAAAUCGACAAGCUCGUCCGAUUUUAAAGACAACAUGGCAACCUGGUCAGUGGUAAAAUUUCCCAGUGACAAUUCCGUGGAAGCGGUACCUACGUCGUGGUUGAAUGGGAAUAGAUGUGUAUGGCCGUCCUAUCCACUAAACAGUCAGAAAUUAUUGGAUGCCGUUGAGAAGCAGUCGAGUCCUGGCUGUGAUUGGCAGACGUAUGAUAUAAUUCCUUUUAAAAAUAAUGUUUUUGAUGAUUUCACUGUAGCAAAAAAGAAGGCUGAAAAAGCUCUUGCUACUUCCGACUUAGAAUCAGAUUCACAAGCUUUCGAGGAAAAAAACAAAACGAGCACCAAAAGAAAAAUUAAAUUGAAGAAAGAAUUUAGCUUUUCUUCUGUCGAGGAGGAAUCACUUGAUUUCGUUCCGCCUGAGUUAAAUUUCAAUGAGCUGCCUUCAAGAAAACCUGAUAUAAAUAAUGGUUUUGAGCAUAAAGGACACCGUCCAUCCAAAUCAACUAAAAAGGUCAACAUAAUCCAAGACAUUGAGGUUACUCCAUAUCGAAUUGCAACCACAAGAAACUGUAAUAAUAAUUCUGCUGUAACUUCUACGGAAACGCCGCCUUCUCGAAACACAGGUCGAAACAUUUCGAAUUCAGAUCUGUAUGUAUUAACGUGUAUUGAGCUGGUACCUAUUAUUUUUUUUAGAUCUGCUGACACGGAUUUUAAGAAAGCAAGAAUUAUUACAUGUAGUUGUGGCAGACAUCAGACAAGGUUUAGAUAACAUAGAAGCCAGUUUAUUGAAAGUCCCAGUAGAGAGUGAAAAGGAAAACUCGAUUCUUGCUCAAUUUGAAUUACCCCUAAAUUCUAAGGAAAGUUUAGCGCAUUUUGAAGAAUUUUUCGUAGCAAAUUAGAAUGCAUUUGAAAAGGCAGUUCGUGAAGUGUCAUUAUUGGGCGGAAGACAUAUGUAUGAAUUUAUUUAUCGAUGCGGAAAGAUGUUAAUAACAAAUGGUUUUGCUUCCACAUACAGUUAUUGUGGUAAAAGAAAUAAGGAGGCGUUUAAGGAGCUACAUUUGAACAAACUAAUGAUUCAAGCUGGAUUACGAUUUAAUCCAAAAACAACGCAGAAGGAUGUGGAAAUAGAAAUUUCCAAAUGGCUGCGACGGGCCGCUGAAAGGGCGAAAAAUGAAAC